rfam:Lactobacillus rossiae DSM 15814 Scaffold43, whole genome shotgun sequence.
AGGGAUAUAGUUUAACGGUAGAACGUCGGUCUCCAAAACCGCCGGUGCGGGUUCGAUUCCUGCUAUCCCUG